CUUGCUUCAGCAGCAUACACUAAAAUUGGAAUAAAAUAGAGAAGAUUAGAAUAGCCCCUGUGUAAGGAUGACAUGCAAAUUUUGAAGCAGUCUGUAUAUAU
rnacentral:snRNA from 1 species